UUUGCUUCUUACUGGUGAACUGUCUUUGAUUCAGAAUGGGGGGAUGUUCAUGUUUCCAAAGAAUAAAUUAAUUUCUAUAUGUUUCUUGCCAUUAUUAACAAUACAAUCCUGGUGUGUUC